rnacentral:rRNA from 2 species
GGUCAAGUGAAGAAGCGCAUACGGUGGAUGCCUUGGCAGUCAGAGGCGAUGAAAGACGUGGUAGCCUGCGAAAAGCUUCGGGGAGUCGGCAAACAGACUUUGAUCCGGAGAUGUCUGAAUGGGGGAACCCAGCCAUCAUAAGAUGGUUAUCUUGUACUGAAUACAUAGGUGCAAGAGGCGAACCAGGGGAACUGAAACAUCUAAGUACCCUGAGGAAAAGAAAUCAACCGAGAUUCCCUUAGUAGUGGCGAGCGAACGGGGACUAGCCCUUAAGUGGCUUUGAGAUUAGCGGAACGCUCUGGAAAGUGCGGCCAUAGUGGGUGAUAGCCCUGUACGCGAAAAUCUCUUAGUCAUGAAAUCGAGUAGGACGGAGCACGAGAAACUUUGUCUGAAUAUGGGGGGACCAUCCUCCAAGGCUAAAUACUACUGACUGACCGAUAGUGAACUAGUACCGUGAGGGAAAGGCGAAAAGAACCCCGGAGAGGGGAGUGAAAUAGAUCCUGAAACCGUAUGCGUACAAGCAGUGGGAGCCCACUUUGUUGGGUGACUGCGUACCUUUUGUAUAAUGGGUCAGCGACUUAUUUUCAGUGGCGAGCUUAACCGAAUAGGGGAGGCGUAGCGAAAGCGAGUCUUAAUAGGGCGUCUAGUCGCUGGGAAUAGACCCGAAACCGGGCGAUCUAUCCAUGGGCAGGUUGAAGGUUGGGUAACACUAACUGGAGGACCGAACCGACUACCGUUGAAAAGUUAGCGGAUGACCUGUGGAUCGGAGUGAAAGGCUAAUCAAGCUCGGAGAUAGCUGGUUCUCCUCGAAAGCUAUUUAGGUAGCGCCUCAUGUAUCACUGUAGGGGGUAGAGCACUGUUUCGGCUAGGGGGUCAUCCCGACUUACCAAACCGAUGCAAACUCCGAAUACCUACAAGUGCCGAGCAUGGGAGACACACGGCGGGUGCUAACGUCCGUCGUGAAAAGGGAAACAACCCAGACCGUCAGCUAAGGUCCCAAAGUUAUGGUUAAGUGGGAAACGAUGUGGGAAGGCUUAGACAGCUAGGAGGUUGGCUUAGAAGCAGCCACCCUUUAAAGAAAGCGUAAUAGCUCACUAGUCGAGUCGGCCUGCGCGGAAGAUGUAACGGGGCUCAAACCAUACACCGAAGCUACGGGUAUCACUUAGGUGAUGCGGUAGAGGAGCGUUCUGUAAGCCUGUGAAGGUGAGUUGAGAAGCUUGCUGGAGGUAUCAGAAGUGCGAAUGCUGACAUGAGUAACGACAAUGGGUGUGAAAAACACCCACGCCGAAAGACCAAGGUUUCCUGCGCAACGUUAAUCGACGCAGGGUUAGUCGGUCCCUAAGGCGAGGCUGAAAAGCGUAGUCGAUGGAAAACAGGUUAAUAUUCCUGUACUUCUGGUUAUUGCGAUGGAGGGACGGAGAAGGCUAGGCCAGCUUGGCGUUGGUUGUCCAAGUUUAAGGUGGUAGGCUGAGAUCUUAGGUAAAUCCGGGAUCUUAAGGCCGAGAGCUGAUGACGAGUUACCCUUUGGGUGACGAAGUGGUUGAUGCCAUGCUUCCAAGAAAAGCUUCUAAGCUUCAGGUAACCAGGAACCGUACCCCAAACCGACACAGGUGGUUGGGUAGAGAAUACCAAGGCGCUUGAGAGAACUCGGGUGAAGGAACUAGGCAAAAUGGCACCGUAACUUCGGGAGAAGGUGCGCCGGUGAGGGUGAAGCACUUGCUGCGUAAGCCCACGCCGGUCGAAGAUACCAGGCCGCUGCGACUGUUUAUUAAAAACACAGCACUCUGCAAACACGAAAGUGGACGUAUAGGGUGUGACGCCUGCCCGGUGCCGGAAGGUUAAUUGAUGGGGUUAGCUAACGCGAAGCUCUUGAUCGAAGCCCCGGUAAACGGCGGCCGUAACUAUAACGGUCCUAAGGUAGCGAAAUUCCUUGUCGGGUAAGUUCCGACCUGCACGAAUGGCGUAACGAUGGCGGCGCUGUCUCCACCCGAGACUCAGUGAAAUUGAAAUCGCUGUGAAGAUGCAGUGUAUCCGCGGCUAGACGGAAAGACCCCGUGAACCUUUACUAUAGCUUUGCACUGGACUUUGAAUUUGCUUGUGUAGGAUAGGUGGGAGGCUUUGAAGCGUGGACGCCAGUUCGCGUGGAGCCAUCCUUGAAAUACCACCCUGGCAACUUUGAGGUUCUAACUCAGGUCCGUUAUCCGGAUCGAGGACAGUGUAUGGUGGGUAGUUUGACUGGGGCGGUCUCCUCCUAAAGAGUAACGGAGGAGUACGAAGGUGCGCUCAGACCGGUCGGAAAUCGGUCGUAGAGUAUAAAGGCAAAAGCGCGCUUGACUGCGAGACAGACACGUCGAGCAGGUACGAAAGUAGGUCUUAGUGAUCCGGUGGUUCUGUAUGGAAGGGCCAUCGCUCAACGGAUAAAAGGUACUCCGGGGAUAACAGGCUGAUACCGCCCAAGAGUUCAUAUCGACGGCGGUGUUUGGCACCUCGAUGUCGGCUCAUCACAUCCUGGGGCUGAAGCCGGUCCCAAGGGUAUGGCUGUUCGCCAUUUAAAGUGGUACGCGAGCUGGGUUUAGAACGUCGUGAGACAGUUCGGUCCCUAUCUGCCGUGGACGUUUGAGAUUUGAGAGGGGCUGCUCCUAGUACGAGAGGACCGGAGUGGACGAACCUCUGGUGUUCCGGUUGUCACGCCAGUGGCAUUGCCGGGUAGCUAUGUUCGGAAAAGAUAACCGCUGAAAGCAUCUAAGCGGGAAACUUGCCUCAAGAUGAGAUCUCACUGGGACCUUGAGUCCCCUGAAGGGCCGUCGAAGACUACGACGUUGAUAGGUGGGGUGUGUAAGCGCUGUGAGGCGUUGAGCUAACCCAUACUAAUUGCCCGUGAGGCUUGACCAU